UACGGAGGAUCCAAGCGUUAUCCGGAUUUAUUGGGUUUAAAGGGUGCGUAGGCGGAUUAAUAAGUCAGUAUUGAAAGGCUAAAGCUUAACUUUAGAAUUGGCAUUGAUACUGUUAGUCUUGAGUACAGAUGAAGUGGGCGGAAUGUGUCAUGUAGCGGUGAAAUGCAUAGAUAUGACACAGAACACCGAUUGCGAAGGCAGCUCACUAAGUUGUAACUGACGCUGAGGCACGAAAGCGUGGGGAUCAAACAGG
rnacentral:rRNA from 1 species